UACGUAGGGAGCAAGCGUUGUUCGGAUUUACUGGGCGUAAAGGGCGCGUAGGCGGCGCGGUAAGUCACCUGUGAAAUCUCUGAGCUUAACUCAGAACGGCCAAGUGAUACUGCAGUGCUAGAGUGCAGAAGGGGCAAUCGGAAUUCUUGGUGUAGCGGUGAAAUGCGUAGAUAUCAAGAGGAACACCUGAGGUGAAGACGGGUUGCUGGGCUGACACUGACGCUGAGUGCGCGAAAGCUAGGGGAGCGAACGGG
rnacentral:rRNA from 1 species